CCUACGGGUGGCUGCAGUGAGGAAUAUUGGUCAAUGGACGAGAGUCUGAACCAGCCAAGUAGCGUGAAGGAUGACUGCCCUCUGGGUUGUAAACUUCUUUUAUAUGGGAAUAAAACGUUCCACGUGUGGGAUUUUGUAUGUACCAUAUGAAUAAGGAUCGGCUAACGCCGUGCCAGCAGCCGCGGUAAUACGGAGGAUCCGAGCGUUAUCCGGAUUUAUUGGGUGUAAAGGGAGCGUAGGAGGACUGUUAAGUCAGUUGUGAAAGCUUGCGGCUCAACCGUAAAAUUGCAGUUGAUACUGGCAGUCGUGAGUACAGUAGAGGUGGGCGGAAUUCGUGGUGUAGCGGUGAAAUGCUUAGAUAUCACGAAGAAAUCCGAUUGCGAAGGCAGUUCACUGGACUGCAACUGACAGUGAGGCGCGAAAGUGUGGGUAGCAAACAGGAUUAGAUACCCGAGUAGUC
rnacentral:rRNA from 1 species